UACACCAUUAUAAGCCAUCCGAUCUCUUAAUUAGAUGGAUGAGAUUGAUUUGCAGGAUUUGAAAUCACGGUUAAUUUGGACUGUAAUUGAGAAUUUCUCUCCCACUCCGCCAUAACUUUGUCCCACCUUUCUCUCUUCCCUAUUUUGCAAUUAAUCGGCGCUAUCAAUCCAGAAACCCUAGGAAGAAAUCGUUGCUUUCCACUAGUUCUCUUCGCCUCCAUCCUAGCAUCGCAACAAUCUAAGGAAUAAGGAGUGUCGCUGCUGAACUCUGUCCAACCUUGCUCUCUCAUCGUUUAUGAUUGCAUCUGGUAAAGGGUGGUGAAGGGCGGCGUUGUUUGCUAUUCAUAGCUGCUCCUCCGACGCUUGAUUCCUACUCCGACGCGACAGGAUACAAUGAAAGAAAUGUGCCUACGAAAGAAGAAACAGAUAUUCUAAACAACAAUGCCACUGCUGAUAAGAUUGAUUCUCCUUGUAAUGAGUUGUCGAAAAAUUCAGUUGGGAAUUGCAAAUAACACUCCAACAUAUUUUUCGUAUUGAAAUGUAAAUGUGGUAGGCUGUACCUGUUA